UACGGGGGGGAGCAAGCGUUGUUCGGAUUUACUGGGCGUAAAGGGCGCGUAGGCGGUCAGCACAAGUCAGUUGUGAAAUCUCCGGGCUUAACUCGGAAAGGUCAACUGAUACUGUGCGACUAGAGUGCAGAAGGGGCAACUGGAAUUCUCGGUGUAGCGGUGAAAUGCGUAGAUAUCGAGAGGAACACCUGCGGCGAAGGCGGCCUUCUGGACGAUGACUGACGCUGAGACGCGAAAGCGUGGGGAGCAAACAGG
rnacentral:rRNA from 1 species